AUCCAGCCCUAUGAAAAGAUCAAGAUGAAGGGUCUUCCUGACGACGUCGCCGCCAGCCUCAACAAGCUCGCUGUAGUCAAACUGAACGGCGGUCUGGGAACCAGCAUGGGCUGUAAGGGCCCCAAGAGUCUGAUCAGCGUACGCAACGAGAACACCUUCCUGGACCUGACCGUCCAGCAGAUCGAGCAUCUGAACAAAACCUUUAACGCCGACGUGCCACUCGUUCUCAUGAACUCCUUCAAUACGGACGAAGACACGAAGAAGAUCCUGCAGAAAUACAAACACCACAGAGUGAAAAUCCACACCUUCAACCAGAGCAGGUAUCCGAGGAUCAACAAGGAGUCUCUGCUGCCCAUAGCCAAAAACAUGGGGAUGAAUGGUGAGAAUUCAGAGGCCUGGUACCCGCCAGGUCACGGAGACAUCUAUGCCAGCUUCUCCAACUGCGGUCUGCUGGACAAACUCAUCGCUGAGGGGAAGGAGUACAUCUUCGUGUCCAACAUCGACAACUUGGGCGCCACCGUCGACCUCUUCAUCCUCCACCACCUGAUGAGCCAGCCAGCCGACAAACGCUGCGAGUUCAUCAUGGAGGUCACCGACAAGACCAGAGCUGACGUCAAGGGUGGCACACUGAUCCAGUACGAGGAUCACCUGAGGCUGCUUGAGAUCGCGCAGGUACCGAAGGCGCACGUGGACGAGUUCAAGUCCGUCACCAAGUUCAAGAUCUUCAACACCAACAACCUGUGGAUCUCUCUGCCCGCCAUCAAGAGGCUGCACGAGAAGAACUCCAUGGACCUGGAGAUCAUCGUCAACCCAAAGACGUUGGACGGCGGCUUGAAUGUCAUCCAGCUGGAGACGGCCGUGGGCGCCGCCAUUAAGAGCUUCAACAACGCCAUGGGCGUGAACGUCCCCCGCAGCCGCUUCCUGCCGGUGAAGACGUCGUCCGACCUCCUGCUGGUGAUGUCAAACCUGUACAGCCUGGACGCCGGCUCGCUCACCAUGAGCAAGAAGAGGGAGUUUCCCACCACGCCACAUGUCAAGUUGGGCAGCUCCUUCACCAAGGUUCAGGAUUUUCUGACCAGGUUUGAGAGCAUUCCGGACAUGUUGGAGCUCGACCACCUCACUGUGUCGGGAGAUGUCACCUUCGGAAAGAACGUCUCUCUGAAGGGAACCGUCAUCAUCAUAGCCAAUCACGGUGACCGGAUCGAUAUUCCUGCCGGAGCGAUGCUGGAGAACAAGAUCGUUUCAGGAAACCUGCGGAUCCUCGACCACUGAGGACUUCUGGGAAACUCCCCACCACCACCACCACCAUCCACAAACGAAGCCAUUUGCACCUUGAAGAGCCUCAAAGAGAAGAGUUUUCUUCUCUUCACUGAUGAACUAUCGCAGCUUGUUUUUGUCCGUCUUCACCCUGUAAUUUCUAUGUAAAUCCUGCCUAAAAAGGGUCACAGGUCAAACCCCCUCCUUCUUCCUGAUGCAUCUGCAGACUUUCUGCUCAUCGUGAAGCUUUUCAGGAAGAAACUUGCUGUUACUGCAAACAAUCGCUGCACAGUCUGUUUCUGCUGUCUAUUAAAGUGCAAUAUGGGUCAA